rnacentral:tRNA from 1 species
GACCUUAUAGUCAAAUGGUUAUGACACUUUACCUUCAAUUAAGUAGUACAGGUUCGAAUCCUGUUGAGGUUA